rnacentral:tRNA from 1 species
GCACCAGUAGCUUAAAGAAAGCGGCUACGAUUGUUCGUCGGGCUGAUGAAGGUUCAAGACCUUCCUGGUGCA